rnacentral:misc_RNA from 1 species
GAUGAAGAACGCAGCAAAAUGCGAUAAGUAAUGUGAAUUGCAGAAUUCAGUGAAUCAUCGAAUCUUUGAACGCACAUUGCGCCCGCCAGUAUUCUGGCGGGCAUGCCUGUUCGAGCGUCAUUUCAACCCUCAAGCCCUCGGGUUUGGUGUUGGGGAUCGGCGAGCCUUUCUGGCAAGCCGGCCCCGAAAUCUAGUGGCGGUCUCGCUGCAGCCUCCAUUGCGUAGUAGUAAAACCCUCGCAACUGGAACGCGGCGCGGCCAAGCCGUUAAACCCCCAACUUCUGAAUGUUGACCUCGGAUCAGGUAGGAAUACCCGCUGAACUUAAGAAUAUCAAUAAGCGGAGGA